rnacentral:rRNA from 1 species
AAUGAACGUUGGCGGUGUGGAUUAGGCAUGCAAGUCGUGCGCGAAAUGUAGCAAUACAUGGAGAGCGGCGAAAGGGAGAGUAAUACAUAGGUACCUACCCCCGGGUCUGGGAUAGCGGCGGGAAACUGCCGGUAAUACCAGAUAAUGUCUCCGGACCCAAGGUGUGAUUCCAACUGGGGAGGGGCCUGUGGCCUAUCAGCUUGUUGGUGGGGUAACGGCCUACCAAGGCAAAAACGGGUAUGGGGCGUGAGAGCGUUCCCCCACUCACUGGGACUGAGAUACUGCCCAGACACCUACGGGUGGCUGCAGUCGAGAAUCUUCGGCAAUGGGCGCAAGCCUGACCGAGCGACACCGCGUGCGGGAUGAAGGCCUUCGGGUUGUAAACCGCUGUCGUAGGGGAGGAAGGGUCCGUGAAGAACGGAACUUGACCGAUCCUAGGAGGAAGGGCCGGCUAAUCUCGUGCCAGCAGCCGCAGUAAAAC